rnacentral:rRNA from 24 species
GCGACCCCAGGAUGGGCGAGGCCA